AUACUUACCUGGUGUAGGGGAUACCGUGAUCAUGCAAGCGGUUCCCCCAGGGCGAGGCUGCUCCAUUACACUGCGGAGUUGUUGAACCUUGCGAUAAUUUUUAUCAAUAAAAAAAUCCUAAUAAAAAAUUUAUACCCGAAUAAUUAUU
rnacentral:snRNA from 1 species